GAUGAACGCUGGCGGCGUGCCUAACACCCGUAAGUCGAACGAAGCGUGCCGGAGGAAGUUUUCGGAUGGAAUCUGGGAUGACUGAGUGGCGGACGGGUGAGUAACGCGUGGGUAACCUGCCCUGUACAGGGGGACAACAGUUAGAAAUGACUGCUAAUACCGCAUAAGCGCACAGGACCGCAUGGUCCGGUGUGAAAAACUCCGGUGGUACAGGAUGGACCCGCGUCUGAUUAGGUAGUUGGCGGGGUAACGGCCCACCAAGCCGACGAUCAGUAGCCGACCUGAGAGGGUGACCGGCCACAUUGGGACUGAGACACGGCCCAAACUCCUACGGGAGGCAGCAGUGGGGAAUAUUGCACAAUGGGGGAAACCCUGACGCAGCGACGCCGCGAGAGAGAAGAAGUAUUUCGGCACCCAAAACUCUAUCAACAGGGAAGAAAAUGAAAAAAAAAAACUCUGAAGCCCCGGCGAGGGGGGAGC
rnacentral:rRNA from 1 species